ensembl:lncRNA
AUUUAACUGUAGAGUGGGCAUUCCCUCCCCACAGGUGUGCCUCCUGAGACAGUUUUGUGGUGGGCCUAGAACAAGGAUCCACAAACUUUUUAUUUAGAGGGCCAAAUAAUAAUGAAAAUCAAGACCAGAGAAGUGAAGUAAUUUCCCAAGGAUACACAGCAAUUUCUCAACAUUUUUCCCCCAACUGGACUAGCCCAUUACAAGACCUGAUAAGAAGAAUUCCGGUGAAUGAAGUUUCGGAAGCAUUUUUGUCGGUUGGGGCUUGGGGCCGUGCCGACAGAAACAUUCAAGUCAGCAGCUCUCUGUCAAACUGGAAGAUGUCUCCAGGUGUACAAUGUGUUUGGGUUGGGCGAUCCCAGUGUGUAAUCUGGAUAAGCUGUGGCCUCUCUGCCAGAUUCAAGCGUAAGUAGGCCUAAAGCCUCUACUCUAAGCAAUAAACUAGUCAGGCAACAAGUUCGCUUCUUGCAAUUCUCAAGCCCUAUUCAUAACCAGGUGAAUUGUCCUAUUACGGUAUAUCCUUGAAAAUGCUGCCUUUUCUUU